CAGGCGUCGAGCGGCGGACGGGUGAGUAAUACUUAGGAAUCUACCUAGUAGUGGGGGAUAGCUCGGGGAAACUCGAAUUAAUACCGCAUACGACCUACGGGAGAAAGGGGGCAGUUUACUGCUCUCGCUAUUAGAUGAGCCUAAGUCGGAUUAGCUAGAUGGUGGGGUAAAGGCCUACCAUGGCGACGAUCUGUAGCUGGUCUGAGAGGAUGAUCAGCCACACCGGGACUGAGACACGGCCCGGACUCCUACGGGAGGCAGCAGUGGGGAAUAUUGGACAAUGGGGGAAACCCUGAUCCAGCCAUGCCGCGUGUGUGAAGAAGGCCUUUUGGUUGUAAAGCACUUUAAGCAGUGAAGAAGACUCCGUGGUUAAUACCCACGGACGAUGACAUUAGCUGCAGAAUAAGCACCGGCUAACUCUGUGCCAGCAGCCGCGGUAAUACAGAGGGUGCAAGCGUUAAUCGGAAUUACUGGGCGUAAAGGGAGCGUAGGUGGCUCGAUAAGUCAGAUGUGAAAUCCCCGGGCUCAACCUGGGAACUGCAUCUGAUACUGUUGAGCUAGAGUAUGUGAGAGGAAGGUAGAAUUCCAGGUGUAGCGGU
rnacentral:rRNA from 2 species